rnacentral:rRNA from 1 species
CCUACGGGUGGCAGCAGUGGGGAAUAUUGCACAAUGGGGGAAACCCUGAUGCAGCGACGCCGCGUGAGGGAAGAAGGAAUUCGGUAUGUAAAGCUCUGUUUUCAGGGACGAAAAUGACGGUACUAGAGGAGGAAGCAACGGCUAACUACGAGCCAGCAGCCGCGGUAAUACGGAGGUGGCGGGCGUUGUCCGGAGUAACUGGGCGUAAAGGGAGCGUAGGCGGGCUUGUAAGUGAGAUGGGAAAUACUCGGGCUCAACUUGAGUACUGCAUUUCAAACUGGAAGUCUAGAGUGCAGGAGAGGAGAAUGGAAUGCCUAGUGUAGCGGUGAAAUGCGUAGAGAUUAGGAAGAACACCAGUGGCGAAGGCGGUUCUCUGGACUGUAACUGACGCUGAGGCUCGAAAGCGUGGGGAGCAAACAGGAUUAGAUACCCUUGUAGUC